rnacentral:rRNA from 1 species
AGAGUUUGAUCAUGGCUCAGAACGUACGCUGGCGGCACGCCUAACACAUGCAAGUCGAACGCAGUAGCAAUACUGAGUGGCAAACGGGUGAGUAUAAUGUGGGAAUCUGCCUUUUGGUUUGGAAUAACACGGGGAAACUUGUGCUAAUACCGAAUAAGCCCUUACGGGGAAAGUUUUAACGCCGAAAGAUGAGCCCGCACUUGAUUAGCUAGUUGGUAAGGUAAAAGCUUACCAAGGCAAUGAUCAAUAGCUGUUCUUAGAGGAAGACCAGCCACAUUGGGACUGAGACACGGCCCAGACUCCUACGGGAGGCAGCAGUGGGGAAUCUUGCACAAUGGGGGAAACCCUGAUGCAGCGAUGCCGCGUGAGUGAAGAAGGCCUUUGGGUUGUAAAACUCUUUCGUCGGGGAAGAAAAUGACUGUACCCGAAUAAGAAGGUCCGGCUAACUUCGUGCCAGCAGCCGCGGUAAUACGAAGGGACCUAGCGUAGUUCGGAAUUACUGGGCUUAAAGAGCUCGUAGGUGGUUAAAAAAGUUGAUGGUGAAAUCCCAAGGCUCAACCUUGGAACUGCCAUCAAAACUUUUUAGCUAGAGUGUGAUAGAGGUAAGUGGAAUUUCUAGUGUAGAGGUGAAAUUCGUAGAUAUUAGAAAG